rnacentral:miRNA from 1 species
CAAUAUGACUACAAGGCAAAUC